rnacentral:tRNA from 15 species
GGCUUUGUAGUGUAAAUAACAUUUUGGAUUGCAAAUCCUUAGAUGCAAUUAGUUCAUUGCCAAAGCUU